CAAUCUGAACCACGCAGGGCCAGGCUUCGGCUUUCGGUGACCAGAUAGACCUUAAUUUGUUUCCCCAGAGUUUCUGUACUCAGGGAGUGGUCUGGUUUGGAGGUCACCUUCUAAGAAACCACAACAUGUAAGCUGAAAGCGUGGCCUCCCAGCCAGGCCAGAAAGCUCAGGCCAAACCAGUAACUUGAACGGGUGACACGCAUUCCUGAACUGUAGAGCUGGUAGACCUGGGAGAAGGGCUGAGUGCCCAUGAACUGUUCUUCCAGGAGGAGGAAAGUGAGGCUGACCAGCCGCUUUGGAGAGAAGCAGAGCUGAAGGUGGUCAGAGAAGAAACGGGGCCCUCGGCCCUGCAGGAGGGCGGACAAGUGCUGGAGCUGUGGCAUAAUGGGUGAUGCUGAUGCCUACAGUGCCAGCAUCCCAAAAAGGCACUGGUUCAAGUCCUGGCUGCUCCACUUCUAAUCCAGUUCUCUGCUACGGCCUGGGAAAGCAGUAGAAGAUGGCCCAAGUCCUUGGCCCCUGCACCCACGUGGGAGACCCAGAAGAAGCUCCUGGCUCCUGGUAUCAGAUUGGCGAAGCUCCAGCCAUUGUGCCCAAAUGGGGAGUGAACCAGUGGAUGGAAGACCUCUCUCUCUCUCUCUGCCUCUCUUUUUGUGUGUAACUCUGACUUUCAAAUAAGUAAAUAAAUCUUAAAAAAAAAAAAAAAAAAAAAAAAAACUUUGCAAUUCCUGCAAUACCUGUACAAGAACAGCACUGUCAUUGCUGACUCUGACAUGAACAGAUAAAGGUUCCCAGUGCCGUGAUGGAAGGGCUGGGAUUCAAAGCUGAGUGGCCAGCUCCAAAGCCCCAGCUUUUGUUUCCUCGCCCACGGAAAGCUUAAGGAGACAACGCCGACUCCCCCUCCUCGCUGACGGCGGCCCGUCCCCCACGGCAGCUGCCCUGCCUGCCUGUCAGCCCUUCGAAUACAUUUUUGAAGAGGUGGGGAAACCGCUGUAAGGGGCAGGAGCGCUCACCAUUCAGCUGCAUCCGGGAGCAAAAAGUGAGCGCAGAGAACAUGUGUUUUCGGAUCGCUUUCCGUAGGGAAGGGUUAAAGCAUCUUACACCCAUUAUCACUUCAUUCCUCCUAACACCGCUGUGAAGUGGCGUGGCGUUUUAGCAGAUGGAGAAACUGCAGCCUAGGAGGACUCUGGCCAAAGUCAGCCCGGAUGGAGGGCUACAGAAAAAGCCCGGGUUCCUCAAUUCCCAGAGUCAGUGCACUGUGCCCAUAUGGGGGCUGCUACCACGGACACCGAGCCACUAAACCAGGAGCGGAAGACGGAUGCAUCAACUUCAGCCGCUAAAGAAAAUUCCUCCCUGAGGCACUGUGAAGCUGCCC